rnacentral:rRNA from 1 species
AACGAACGCUGGCGGCAUGCCUAACACAUGCAAGUCGAACGAGACCUUCGGGUCUAGUGGCGCACGGGUGCGUAACGCGUGGGAACCUGCCCUUAGGUUCGGAAUAACUCCCCGAAAGGGGUGCUAAUACCGGAUAAUGUCUUCGGACCAAAGAUUUAUCGCCUUUGGAUGGGCCCGCGUUGGAUUAGCUAGUUGGUAGGGUAAAAGCCUACCAAGGCGACGAUCCAUAGCUGGUCUGAGAGGAUGAUCAGCCACACUGGGACUGAGACACGGCCCAGACUCCUACGGGAGGCAGCAGUGGGGAAUAUUGGACAAUGGGCGAAAGCCUGAUCCAGCAAUGCCGCGUGAGUGAUGAAGGCCUUAGGGUUGUAAAGCUCUUUUACCCGGGAUGAUAAUGACAGUACCGGGAGAAUAGCUCCGGCUAACUCCGUG